rnacentral:rRNA from 1 species
GGUGGAUGCCCUGGCAGUCAGAGGCGAUGAAGGACGUGCUAAUCUGCGAUAAGCGUCGGUAAGGUGAUAUGAACCGUUAUAACCGGCGAUUUCCGAAUGGGGAAACCCAGUGUGAUUCGUCACACUAUCAUUAACUGAAUCCAUAGGUUAAUGAGGCGAACCGGGGGAACUGAAACAUCUAAGUACCCCGAGGAAAAGAAAUCAACCGAGAUUCCCCCAGUAGCGGCGAGCGAACGGGGAGCAGCCCAGAGCCUGAAUCAGUGUGUGUGUUAGUGGAAGCGUCUGGAAAGGCGUGCGAUACAGGGUGACAGCCCCGUACACAAAAAUGCACAUACUGUGAGCUCGAUGAGUAGGGCGGGACACGUGGUAUCCUGUCUGAAUAUGGGGGGACCAUCCUCCAAGGCUAAAUACUCCUGACUGACCGAUAGUGAACCAGUACCGUGAGGGAAAGGCGAAAAGAACCCCGGCGAGGGGAGUGAAAAAGAACCUGAAACCGUGUACGUACAAGCAGUGGGAGCACGCUUAGGCGUGUGACUGCGUACCUUUUGUAUAAUGGGUCAGCGACUUAUAUUCUGUAGCAAGGUUAACCGAAUAGGGGAGCCGAAGGGAAACCGAGUCUUAACUGGGCGUUAAGUUGCAGGGUAUAGACCCGAAACCCGGUGAUCUAGCCAUGGGCAGGUUGAAGGUUGGGUAACACUAACUGGAGGACCGAACCGACUAAUGUUGAAAAAUUAGCGGAUGACUUGUGGCUGGGGGUGAAAGGCCAAUCAAACCGGGAGAUAGCUGGUUCUCCCCGAAAGCUAUUUA